rnacentral:snRNA from 1 species
AUCCCUCGCGGGUGCACCGCCGACCG